GGUUACCUACGGGACGCAGCAGUGGGGAAUAUUGGGCAAUGGGCGCAAGCCUGACCCAGCAACGCCGCGUGAAGGAAGAAGGCUUUCGGGUUGUAAACUUCUUUUCUUGGGGACGAAGAAAGUGACGGUACCCAAGGAAUAAGCCACGGCUAACUACGUGCCAGCAGCCGCGGUAAUACGUAGGUGGCAAGCGUUAUCCGGAUUUCUUGAGUGUAGAGGGCGUGUAGGCGGGAUUGCAAGUCAGAUGUGAAAACCACGGGCUCAACCUGUGGCCUGCAUUUGAAACU
rnacentral:rRNA from 1 species